rnacentral:rRNA from 1 species
AGUGAACGCUGGCGGUAGGCCUAACACAUGCAAGUCGAACGGCAGCACAGUAAGAGCUUGCUCUUACGGGUGGCGAGUGGCGGACGGGUGAGGAAUACAUCGGAAUCUACUUUUUCGUGGGGGAUAACGUAGGGAAACUUACUCUAAUACCGCAUACGACCUACGGUUGAAAGCAGUGGAUCUUCGGACCUUGCGCGAUUGAAUGAGCCGAUGUCGGAUUAGCUAGUUGGCGGGGUAAAGGCCCACCCAGGCGACGAUCCGUAGCUGGUCUGAGAGGAUGAUCGGCCACACUGGAACUGAGACACGGUCAAGACUCCUAAGGGAGGCAGCAGUGGGGAAUAUUGGACAAUGGGCGCAAGCAUGAUCCAGCCAUACCGCGUGGGUGAAGAAGGCCUUCGGGUUGUAAAGCCCUUUUGUUGGGAAAGAAAAGCAGCAGGUUAAUACCCCGCUGUUCUGACGGUACCCAAAGAAUAAGCACCGGCUAACUUCGUG